UUUUAGAUACAUAGAAAUAGUAGAAAUUAAUAGCUGUACAAUAAAUUAUUGUUUUCCAUGUUAUUUUUACAAAUUAAUUUACUACGAUAUUUGAGUGAAGAGUGUAAUACGAAGUGUAAAGGCUACUUGCAAAAGAAUGAUACUUUAUCCAAAUGGAGUGGACAAAUAAAAUGACUAGAUCGCUGAUGUAAGCCUUGAAAUCACUUUUCUGAAAGUUCCUUUCAGCAGCGCUGGAUGUCUCUAAGAAUAUCAUUUCGACGGCAAUGUCGGUAUUUCAGAUCGUGUAAUACGAACUCCCACAAAACGGUAGGACUGUACUAUACAUAUACAUAUCACGUCUAUUACUGUGCUAUUACUAGUAUUCAUGCCGUAACGUUAGUUACUUGAUUCAAGCUCGUGCGUAUCGAAACGUCAGUAUUUCAACACACAUAACAGUACGAGAUCUCGUGAGAUCUCCAUGUCACGUAUAUCGCGAGUGUUGAUUUGCGAUUAACCUCUGACACGGUGUAAAUCUUUCUCAGAAAUGGAUAAAAGAUUGGAUACAUCAAAGUCAGGGUAUCGUGAGGAUGUCACUGGUCAUUCUAAAAAGAGUAAGAAGCGAUCCAGCAAAAGGAAUAGUAUGAUUAACUCAUGGAUGAAUAGUCUCCAGAACAAUCAAAACAAUGAUAUGGUACCUGGCAUGGAGCAUCAGCAUGUACUGUGGCAGUCUAACAUGCAACAGAACUUCCCAAAUAACGGACAGCGCCUCUUUACGACAGCCUCUGAUCCUAGUAUGUGUGGUUACGCACAGGUCCCAAUGACCUAUGCCAUGGAGCCAGUUUCACUACCACCCAUGUACAGGUUAUAUCAACCAGUGCCAUUUUCUGGCAUCAGAACUAUUCCCAACAGACCCAGGAGACACUGUAAUCAAGCUCAUCCAAUGGAAUUGAGCAUAAACUCUAUGGGAAACGGUUAUACGAGUCUACAGGAGAAUGGUUUGACAUCUCCUAUACCAAUUGAUUAUCAGAAUGGGGACUAUGCAAGUUUGCCACCCACUGCUAACAAGAACAGUGGAAUUAAUGGAGACGAAUUAAAUUCAGAGCACAGAAGGUAUUCGGAUCCUGGCCUUGGAUCUGCCGAGGCUCCUACCCAGAGCGAAGAUCCUGACAGUGUCGAUAGUGGAAGUUCUAUUACAACUAUUGGUCGCAGCAAUAAACUAGUUCUGUCUCUUAUUGAACAGAUGACAGAAUUGAAAAAGAGUAAUAGUCAACUGUUCAAAGAAUUAAAUGAAACAAAGUCUGAAUUAGGGAGUAUGAAAGCAAAGCUGGCACAGUGUAAAUAUAAUGGCUCUUCUGAUUACCAACCAGGAAUGUUAUCGGAUUUCAUUAGAGAAAUCAGGCAAGCGAAUAAAACGUGCGAAGAAGGAUUAGUUUCAAAAGUAAAGUCUAUAGUGGAAGAGAAGUUGAAUCAGAGGUCAUUAGAAGUAGCCAAUUUAAAUAAUCAGAUCUUGAAACUGGUGGAGGAGAAGGAGGAGAACGAAAAACGUAUUACAAAAUUAGAAGAAGAAGUGGCAACCUUGAGACUGAACGCAAACAACGAGGGCCGCGAGAUCGCAGCGUUCGAGGAAGAGACGCUGGCGCUGCGACGGGAGCUGCAGGAGGCGCGGUCAUCCAAGAGCCUGGCCGAGAAUCACGUGGCAAAGUGCGUAAACGCGAGAUCAGUCAGCCCUGUCGUUGCCCUCGACUCGCCCUACCUAACCAGCACCCCCGUGCGUACCGCUCUCUCCGACACCUGUAGCCUGGUCCCUUCGUCGUCCUCCUCCUCAGGCUCAUCCUCGACCCAUCAGCACUUCGCCAUGCUGCGCUCACGAACCGCGGACCUGGCUCACCACUUCGUCUCCGAGAAGCCAAGCUACGGGUCCGUGGACUGUACUCCACAGUCCACUUGGACGGUAGACGAACAAGGUUCUAGCAUGCAGUCGCCCGUUGCGGAAGACCUGACCUACGAAGAGACCUCCAGUCUGACCAACUCGGAUCUGCCCGUCGACACCAAGUCGGAGGAUCCUGUCGAUCGAGUGGAAGAGAAGGAGGAGACCAAGGAGGAAGUUUGUAAGACGGAAGACGGAUCCAGGUCGGAGAAAAGGAGCAAGGGGUCCAGGAAGGACGAGGAGACGCGAGGCGCGCAGAGGGCAGGCUCGAAGAAGACCAGGAAGAAGAAGGUGAACUCGAAGAGGUCGUUCAGCGAGGCGGACAAGCCAGCUUCCUCGGAGACGGUGAACGAGAACGGGCGGAGAACGGUGAGCGAGGACGAGGCUCGUCAAGAUGACGAGGACACGUGCCGAGCCAUCACCGAGAUCCCGGAAGUGACCGUUGUCGGUGGUGGCUCCCCCUUCGUGCCGAAAGAUCUCUGCUCGACGGGAAUCCUGACCUCCAGAGUCCUGACAGCACCCUCACGCGCUACCUACACCACCGCCUACAUUUAGGCCACGUACGCGCGGGGCCCCGCAACCAUACGCGCACCAAUGGCGGACGCGUGCCGCAAACGGGGGCUUCAAGGGCUUGCUAGAGGCUACUACUAUGUACAAUGUCGAAUAGCACACUGGAGAAGCUGCUGGACAUACUUCGUAGUAAGAUGAUCGCCACGGAGCAGGAAGGCGAAAUCACGGCGAAACGCGUGCGAAAUGUU
rnacentral:misc_RNA from 1 species